GUUUUCCUGGGAUUUUCUGGGAAUUUUUUGGGAUCGUUUCGGGUUUUCCUGGGGAUUUUUUUGGGGUUUUUUUGGGAUUUUCCGGGGUUUUCCUCACAUUAUUUCGGGGGUUUUUUUGGGAUCAUUCCCAGUUUUCCUGGGAUUCUCUGGGAAUUUUUUGGGAUCGUUUCAGGUUUUCCUGGGAUUUUUUUGGGAUUUUCCUGGGAUUCUCCAGGGAUUUUUUUGGGGGAUUUUUUGGGAUUUUUCUCAGACUCUUUCAGGGGUUUUUUCUGGGGAUAAUUCCCAGAUUUUCUGGGAAUUUUUAGGGAUCGUUUUGGGUUUUCCUGGGAUUUCCUGAGGUUUUUUUGGGGUUUUCCUGGGAUUUUCUAGGGAUUUUUUUGGGGGAUUUUCUGGGGUUUUCCUCAGAUUCUUUUGGGGUUUUUUUUGGGAUCAUUCCCAGUUUUCCUGGGAUUCUCUGGGGUUUCUUUUUUUUGGGAUAAUUUCGGGUUUUCCUGGGAUUUUUUUGGGUUUUCCUGGGAUUCUCCAGGGAUUUUUUUGGGGGAUUUUUUGGGAUUUUUCUCAGAUUCUUUCAGGGUUUUUUUUUGGGAUCAUUCCCAGAUUUUCUGGGAAUUUUUAGGGAUCGUUCUGGGUUUUCCUGGGAUUUCCUGAGGUUUUUCUUUUUGGGAUUUCCUGGAAUUUUCUGGGGUUUUCCUCAGAUUCUUUUGGGGGUUUUUUGGGAUCAUUCCCAGUUUUCCUGGGAUUCUCUGGGGUUUCUUUUUUUUGGGAUAAUUUUGGGUUUUCCUGGGAUUUUCUGGGAUUGUUCUGGGUUUUCCUGGGGAUUUUUUUGGGGGUUUUUUGGGAUUUUUUGGAGUUUUCCCCACAUUCUUUUGGGGUUUUUUUUGGGAUCAUUCCCAGUUUUCCUGGGAUUUUCUGGGAUUUUUCUGGGAUCUUUUCGGGUUUUCCUGGGGUUUUUGUGGGAUUUU
rnacentral:lncRNA from 1 species